GGGCGCUUGGCCUAGUGGUAUGGCGUAUGCUUUGCACCAAACAGUGUUACACACUGCAUGGUUCCUGAUUGUAUAAGAUCACGAGUUCGAUCCUCGUAGCGUCCA